UUCCGGUUGAUCCUGCCGGACCUGACUGCUAUCGGAUUGAUACUAAGCCAUGCGAGUCAUUGUAGCAAUACAAGGCAUACGGCUCAGUAACGCGUAGUCAACCUACCCUAUGGACGGAAAUAACCUCGGGAAACUGAGAAUAAUAUCCGAUAGAACAUUAUGCCUGGAAUGGUUUAUGUUCCAAAUGAUUUAUCGCCGUAGGAUGGGACUGCGGCCUAUCAGUUUGUUGGUGAGGUAAUGGCCCACCAAGACUAUUACAGGUACGGGCUCUGAGAGGAGUAGCCCGGAGAUGGGUACUGAGACACGGACCCAGGCCCUAUGGGGCGCAGCAGGCGAGAAAACUUUGCAAUGUGCGAAGGCACGACAAGGUUAAUCCGAGUGAUUUCUGCUAAAGAAAUCUUUUGUUAGUCCUAGAAACACUAACGAAUAAGGGGUGGGCAAGUUCUGGUGUCAGCCGCCGCGGUAAAACCAGCACCUCAAGUGGUCAGGAUGAUUAUUGGGCCUAAAGCAUCCGUAGCCGGCUCUGUAAGUCCUCGGUUAAAUCUGUACGCUUAACGUACAGGCUGCCGGGAAUACUGCAUAGCUAGGGAGUGGGAGAGGUAGACGGUACUCGGUAGGAAGGGGUAAAACCCUUUGAUCUAUUGAUGACCACCUGUGGCGAAGGCGGUCUACCAGAACACGUCCGACGGUGAGGGAUGAAAGCUGGGGGAGCAAACCGGAUUAGAUACCCGGGUAGUCCCAGCUGUAAACUAUGCAAACUCAGUGAUGCAUUGGCUUGUGGCCAAUGCAGUGCUGCAGGGAAGCCGUUAAGUUUGCCGCCUGGGAAGUACGUACGCAAGUAUGAAACUUAAAGGAAUUGGCGGGGGAGCACCACAAGGGGUGAAGCCUGCGGUUCAWUUGGAGUCAACGCCGG
rnacentral:rRNA from 2 species